rnacentral:rRNA from 1 species
GUGAAAGCCCAGCUUGCUGGGUGGAUCAGUGGCGAACGGGUGAGUAACACGUGAGCAAUCUGCCCCUGACUCUGGGAUAAGCGCUGGAAACGGCGUCUAAUACUGGAUACGAGCUGCGAUCGCAUGGUCAGUAGCUGGAAAGAUUUUUUGGUCAGGGAUGAGCUCGCGGCCUAUCAGCUUGUUGGUGAGGUAAUGGCUCACCAAGGCGUCGACGGGUAGCCGGCCUGAGAGGGUGACCGGCCACACUGGGACUGAGACACGGCCCAGACUCCUACGGGAGGCAGCAGUGGGGAAUAUUGCACAAUGGGCGCAAGCCUGAUGCAGCAACGCCGCGUGAGGGAUGACGGCCUUCGGGUUGUAAACCUCUUUUAGCAGGGAAGAAGCGAAAGUGACGGUACCUGCAGAAAAAGCGCCGGCUAACUACGUGCCAGCAGCCGCGGUAAUACGUAGGGCGCAAGCGUUAUCCGGAAUUAUUGGGCGUAAAGAGCUCGUAGGCGGUUUGUCGCGUCUGCUGUGAAAUCCCGAGGCUCAACCUCGGGUCUGCAGUGGGUACGGGCAGACUAGAGUGCGGUAGGGGAGAUUGGAAUUCCUGGUGUAGCGGUGGAAUGCGCAGAUAUCAGGAGGAACACCGAUGGCGAAGGCAGAUCUCUGGGCCGUAACUGACGCUGAGGAGCGAAAGGGUGGGGAGCAAACAGGCUUAGAUACCCUGGUAGUCCACCCCGUAAACGUUGGGAACUAGUUGUGGGGUCCAUUCCACGGAUUCCGUGACGCAGCUAACGCAUUAAGUUCCCCGCCUGGGGAGUACGGCCGCAAGGCUAAAACUCAAAGGAAUUGACGGGGACCCGCACAAGCGGCGGAGCAUGCGGAUUAAUUCGAUGCAACGCGAAGAACCUUACCAAGGCUUGACAUACACCAGAACACCGUAGAAAUACGGGACUCUUUGGACACUGGUGAACAGGUGGUUGCAUGGUUGUCGUCAGCUCGUGUCGUGAGAUGUUGGGGUUAAGUCCCGCAACGAGCGCAACCCUCGUUCUAUGUUGCCAGCACGUAAAUGGUGGGGAACUCAUGGGGAUACUGCCGGGGUCAAUUCGGAGGAAAGGGGGGGGAUGACGUCAAAUCAUC